CUCAGCCUCCCCAGUAGCUGGGACUACAGGCACCCGCCACCACGCCCGGCUAAUUUUUUGUAUUUUUUAGUAGACACGGGGUUUCACCGUGUUAGCCAGGAUGGUCUCAAUCUCCUGACCUUGUGAUCCACCUGCCUCGGCCUCCCAAGAGUGCUGGGAUUACAGGGCCUGUUCAGGAAUGUUCAUGUAGUAGAGGAGGAAACCAGCU
rnacentral:lncRNA from 10 species